UAUUAUUAGUUCAGCCUUUAUUAAAAUAUUUUACAGGAUUAUUUUAUGAUAUAAUUGAUAGAACAUAACAUGACUUCUUAGGGGGAAAAUUAGGGUAAAUGGUGUUUUUUUAAAACAAACAAACAAACAAACACUGAUUUACUUUUGUUAAAGGAUUAUGCCUCAAGAGGCACAUGGGAAGAGACCUGGCUGUUAUUUUAGUUGCUCACCAGGAAGAUGUCUCCAAGUCAAAUACCAGUGGGUGUUCAGCUUUCCUUGUAUAAUCAGGCUCUUUUUAUUAGCUCCACACCAAAGAGGUCUGCUCACCCCAUCUAUCCAUCAUCUCUUACAACACCGAGCAUUUCCUAUGUGCAUAACCCUGAGCUCAAUGUUGAAAUCCAGCAUUGAAGAUGGCCAGUGAUUCCUGCCAUCCUGUUCUAGGAGAUGAGACAGACAUUAAAUGACUGAUAACCUCAUUAAGUAUAGGGCCUCCUGGAAAGUCACUGAAGUGAAAACUCAUUUGCAGUUCUGUGAAGCACUCCUAAGAACCAGGAAUGGAAGUUUUGUCCCAGAGAUGCCAACCAUCAACACUAUGUAUAAGAGGAGGAAGAUGCUGGAAUCGUUGCCACCCAGGCUGAUUUGAAAAUCACAUUUCAGAACGAAAACAAAUGACCCCUUUUGACCCCUGGGAAAGUAUGCUUGUGACUUCAGCUGCCUACUUCAGAAUUUGCACAGUAAGCCAUAUCUUUACAACUGGUGAAGAUUUGCUGAGAAAAUCUGGGAUGAAUGCAAAUCCCCAUCAAGCCUCCGUAAGGCCCUAGAGGUGACAUUCCAUACUGGAGGCUGUCAGCACUAUCAGUGGACACUGGAAGCUGCCUGUACCACCGCUACAGGACACCAGAUGUUGCCACCAGGGGAGUGAGAUUUCAACUGUUGCUACUGCUUAGUAACAAUGACUCCAGACUAAGAACCCCCCACAGAGCACUUGGUUCACCAAGCUUAUGACUACGAACCACAGCUGCCAGAGCACUAAAGAAACCAUUAACUCAUCAUCUCUACCUCCUUUUCAGCUUCUGUAUUAGAAGAUGGGGCUCCAAAGCUCACGACACAGAGAUUCCACAAAUGAAAGAAGCGUUGAGAUACCAGGAAGAUAUAUUUUGGCAGGUCAAGCGCUCAGACUGGGUAUUCCAGAUGAAGUUAUUAAUUCAGAUCCAGUUGAAGAAGCAAUCAGAUUCACCUAGAGAAUUUUAAGAAGAUAAUGAUAAAAGUGGUACAAAUUGAGAACAAGGUGCUGGAAAAGAAUGUGCAUUCUUUACUUGAUGUAUGUGAGAUACUAUUUCUAAUCAAGUGGGUAAGUACGUUAGUCGAGUUUCCUGUAUACUCCUGUGGAUGCUUUACCUAUAGUCCUGCCCAUGUCUGGUGAUCAGGAUCAGUCACACAUGCCAGGGUGGUGACUCCCUGGGCACAAAGAUCCAUAAGUGACUGAGUGCAUCCACAGCUUAGGGGAUACUUAUUGUGUCCCUUGGGCAGUGUUUCCUGUCCAAGAACCAGGGCUUCUAGAUCUUAGCAAGUCAGUGGCUUGUAUAGAAGCAAAAUUCCCCAAGUGGGCCACUGGCAAAGGUGACAAGAAGGACC